rnacentral:rRNA from 1 species
GAUGAACGCUGGCGGCGUGCUUAACACAUGCAAGUCGAACGAUGAAGCCCAGCUUGCUGGGUGGAUUAGUGGCGAACGGGUGAGUAACACGUGAGUAACCUGCCCUUAACUCUGGGAUAAGCCUGGGAAACUGGGUCUAAUACCGGAUAGGAGCGUCCACCGCAUGGUGGGUGUUGGAAAGAUUUAUCGGUUUUGGAUGGACUCGCGGCCUAUCAGCUUGUUGGUGGGGUAAUGGCUCACCAAGGCGACGACGGGUAGCCGGCCUGAGAGGGUGACCGGCCACACUGGGACUGAGACACGGCCCAGACUCCUACGGGAGGCAGCAGUGGGGAAUAUUGCACAAUGUGCGCAAGCCUGAUGCAGCGACGCCGCGUGAGGGAUGACGGCCUUCGGGUUGUAAACCUCUUUCAGUAGGGAAGAAGCGAAAGUGACGGUACCUGCAGAAGAAGCACCGGCUAACUACGUG